AGACCAUGGCUAGGACACUUUCUCAACAUCUCAGUAAACCUUUUCCAUGCUUCAGCAAAAGAUUCAUCAUCUUGCUGCCGAAAAGAUGUGAUGGCAUCCCUCAAUCU